rnacentral:rRNA from 1 species
UCGAGAAUCUUCCGCAAUGGACGCAAGUCUGACGGAGCGACGCCGCGUGAUUGAUGAAGUCUUUCGGGAUGUAAAGAUCUUUUAUGUAGGAGAAAGUUUUGAUAGUACUACAUGAAUAAGGGGUUGCUAAACUCGUGUCAGCAGCAGCGGUAAUACGAGUACCCCAAGCGUUAUCCGGAAUUAUUGGGCGUAAAGGGUGUGUAGGCGGUAAUGUUAGUCUCUUGUCAAAGCCUCCGGCUCAACCGGAGAAUUGCGGGGGGAAACGGCAUAACUAGAGAGUGUGAGAGGUUUGCGGAACUCAUGGUGUAGGGGUGAAAUCCGUUGAUAUCAUGGGGAACACCAAAAGCGAAGGCAGCAAACUGGCACAUUUCUGACGCUGAAACACGAAAGCGUAGGUAGCGAAUGGGAUUAGAUACCCCAGUAGUCCCUGAGCGGGCUGGCAAGGCGCAU